rnacentral:rRNA from 1 species
UACAGAGGGUGCGAGCGUUGUCCGGAAUCACUGGGCGUAAAGGGCGCGUAGGUGGCGCUGCAAGUCGGUGGUGAAAGCUCGUCGCUUAACGACGAGUCGGCCAUCGAAACUGCGGGGCUGGAGCACUGUAGGGGCAGAUGGAAUUCCGGGUGUAGCGGUGGAAUGCGUAGAGAUCCGGAAGAACACCAGUGGCGAAGGCGGUCUGCUGGGCAGUUGCUGACACUGAGGCGCGACAGCGUGGGGAGCAAACAGG